rnacentral:rRNA from 1 species
UACGUAGGGGGCUAGCGUUGUCCGGAAUCAUUGGGCGUAAAGCGCGCGUAGGCGGCCCGGUAAGUCCGCUGUGAAAGUCAGAGGCUCAACCUUUGAAUGUCAGCGGAUACUGCCGGGCUAGAGUCCGGAAGAGGCGAGUGGAACUCCUGGUGUAGCGGUGGAAUGCGCAGAUAUCAGGAAGAACACCAACGGCGAAGGCAGCUCGCUGGGACGGAACUGACGCUAAGGCGCGAAAGCUAGGGGAGCAAACGGG